rnacentral:lncRNA from 1 species
UCUUUCCAUCACAUCAGUGAGGGCCACGAUGGUCGGGUGAAGAGGAUAUCAGAUUUGCCAAGAGAUCCUGAAGAAGUGUCAAGAAUGCUUGGUGACACAAGGACAAGAUCCAGAAACAAGAUCCACAAGGCUCUGAGAGUGGAGGCCAGACCAAGAAUGGUCUCACAAACUGUAGGAGUUGUGACGGAAAAUAAACACAGAAUAUGCAACAGAAAUCCAAUGUGGCCCACAAAGGAAAACAGUUUGCCAAGGUCUGGCUUUAAAAGUCAAAUUCCAGCCUAGGAGUAAGCA